GCCUCCUGAGUAGCUGGGACUACAGGUGCCUGCCACCAAGCCCAACUAAUUUUUUGUAUUUUUAGUAGAGACGGGUUUCACCAUGUUAGCCAGGAUGGUCUCGAUCUCCUGGCCUCAUGAUCCGCCCGCCUCGGCCUCCCAGAGUGCUGGGAUUACAGGCGUGAGCCACUGUGCCUGGCCCAAUGUUGCAUAUUUCUCCAGGAACCCCUGCUACAAACUAGGGCUGAAAAUCCCCCAGGUGUCUCCAAGACCACGUGUGCCUGUGCUCAAGUGGGUACCUGGCUCUGCAAAGGUCACAGUGUGUGAGGGUCAUUUGCACUGGAGGGCCAGCUGUCCUGUCCUGAGCAGCCUUACAGAGAGGCCUGUGGGGCAAGAAACUUAGGUCUCACCCCAAUAACCAACAAGAAACCGAAGCCUGCUGCCCACAGCCCUGUGAGGAGCUUGACGGCAGAGUCCCCAGCCCAGUUGAGCUUUCCAAAGAUGGAAGCCCUGGCUGACGUGUUGGUUGCAGCCUCACAAGAGACUCUGAGUCACAGCCACCCAGAAAAACUUCUCAAUUCCUCUGUGACAUAAUGAAUGCUGUAAUUUUAAACACUGAGCAUGGGGCUAAUUUGUUAUGCAGCAAUAGAUAACUAAUACACCCUGCGAUAAUGUACUAGGAUUUGGGACAUCAGUCAUUUCCUCCUGCUUUACCCCACCCCAAACUACCGGGAGCCUGCUGUGCUAUGGGGAGCCCUCCUGGUCCAGCACAGCUGAUAGGACCAGGGGAGUCACUUGACCAAAGCCAAGACAAUUCAGUUGUCCCUUCUAGAAAUUCUUUCUUUCUCCUUUCUCCCUUCCUCCUUCCUUCCCUCUCUUCCUCCUCCCCUCCCUCUCUUCCUUUUUCCCUCCCUUCCUUCUUCCCUCCCUCCUUCCUUCUUCC
rnacentral:lncRNA from 1 species